rnacentral:lncRNA from 1 species
CAAAAAAUACUUUUUUCAGAGAAAAUGUUAAAAAUACCCACCUAAGAUGGGUUGGGAGUUAAAAAUAACCACCUAUACAUUUUCUGACCAUUUUACCCUUAUAAUUAAAUAAAAUUUACGGAUAUGCCACUGUAAUAAAAAAAAUAGACAGAAAUGAGAAAAAAAUGAAAUAACGGCAAACCCCCAAACCCAACCCAUCGGCGUCUCUCCAUCGCAUCUUCUCUGACAGGUCUUGCGUCCCUACUAGGAGGAUGAAUCUGGCUCGGAAACUAUACAGGUAAGAUAUAAAUUGAAUUCCUCUUUUAACGGUACCGGUAAUGUAGGAUUUGGUGGAGUAUUGGCUGAUGGACGGUUUCUUGACCUCGCCGGAGAAAAAGGAGUUGGGCAUGGUGCGGAGCAAGUUAUCACCUGGAAUUACCUUAGGGGAAAUUAUAAGAUAGUUGAGUAGAGUCUAAAUCCUGAGUUUGGGGAAUUUCCGGAGCCUGUGGUAGAUUCUUGCUAAAAGUCGGGUCCGGGUUCGGAUGGAUAUUUUCGUCCAUAAAACCCGAUAUAAAGAACCUGAAUUUUUUCACUCGAUUUUUUCAGGUCGGGUUCGGAUAAAGAUUCGAAUCAAACUCCACUCACCCAAAACCUGAAAAAUCUUAUAAAAAAACCUUAAAAUAUAAAUAAUCAUAUAAAUAAUUUUUUAUAUAUAUAUAAAACAUUUUAUAAAAAUUUAAUAUACACAUUUAAUAAAUUUUCCUUCUUCUUUUAAAAUCUAAACCCUAAUAUUAUUAUCAUUUUUCUAUAUAUAUCCUCUUCCAUUUUCUCUUCUCAUCGUCGGAUCCAUCUUCACAUUUUAAUUUUCGCCUAAGAAAUAUUUAAUAUUUGAUCUUAUUUAAUAUUUUUAAAAUUAUUUUAUCAAUUUAUUUAAAUAACAGAGAUAUUUAUACAAAAUUUUAAAAAAAAAUCAUGUUGGGUUUGGUCGGGUUCGGAUUCUAUAAUUUUAGAAGUUCUAGGGUUUUGACCCGAACCCGAUUUCAAACUCGAGUUUGGGUUGUGGUCAGGGCAAUCCCGAGCCAAACCCGACCCAUGCCCAUUCAUAAUUACAAUAUGAUUAUUUUCAUUAACCAAUUUAUAAAAUUUUGACAUAAAUUUAUUUAUCUAAAAUAUUUUUUAUUGCUUAAAUAUAUAUAUAUAUAUAGGGUCAGCUUAUUUAAAUCAUAUGUGAAAACUUCAUAUUUAAAUCAUUACAUCUUGAUCUAAGGGUAAGCCUAUAUAUCGAUCGGAUUCGACUCGGAUACCCAGGUAUCCGAAUUCGACUAAAUAAAAUUCGGAUAGGAAAAUCCAAAUCCGGAUAAUCCAAAUAGGAUAACUUUUUAUAAAAAAAUUUAAAUUUAAAAUAAAAAUAUAAAAUCAACAUUAAUAAAGUUAAUUAAUAGUCAAUUAAUCACCUUAAAAUCUGAAUAUCCGAAAGUCAAUUUAUAUUUAUUCGAAUAUCCCGAUAUGACGAUAUCCGAAUCCGAAAUUUUUAAACGAAUUCGGAUUUUAACGACGGGUUUUUCGAAUAUCCGAAUUCGUCCGGAUAAAAUUCGAAUAUCGAUUUAUGUAUCCGAAUUCGAAAAUCCAAAUCCGGAUAGUAAUAUUCAAAUACGAAUAUGGAUAUACAUUUACAGAUCUAUCCAAGGGUGAUUCAUAUAUUUAAUUUUAAUUAUCUUAAAAGAUGAUCUUCAUGUGUGUGGUAUUUCUGUAUUUCUCUCAUAACAUUCUUUUAUCCAAUGGUCAUUUUCAUUUUUCAUUCAUUUCUUACUUUACAAUACUCAAGUUCCAUCCAUUUUCUUCUUCCUUCCUCCUUCCACCACUUUCUCAAGCAUCUAAUCCUAACCUCCAUCACUUAAUAGAAAAUGUUAAUCGAAUCUCCCUCCGGCCGGUGACUCCUCCAGCGAGGUAUGUUUUUUCCUGAUCUCCCUCCUCUUUUUCUAAAUGUACUAUUUAAUAUUUCGAUUUACGGACAAUUGAAAAUGCUC